CCUGGCGUAGGUGGUGAGCUGCCCGGUCGGCUGGUACUGUUUGCUGGUCACCCUCUCCCCAUUGAACAACGAUGUCUUGCCUUUCCUAAAGCCCCACAUGUUCCGAGUCUGUCUGGACCUUUAGGACUAUGAUUUUGAUUAAUAAUUUUUGACCAGACUUAUCAACAGACUUAAAAACGAAGCCUUAUCUCUGCUGAUGCAUGCCUGACCCUGCAUUACAGCGCGUGGGAGCGGCCUCUUCUUAGUUCAGGUUUCCACAUAAGCGGCACGUUUUCUCUUCCUCCCCUUGGCCCUGCGUAGUAGGUGUUUCCUAGCAGUGACCCAGGCUGACUUGAGCGGGACCCCAAGCUGGUGCUUCCAGGGUAGGGGGCAGUGUGGGAGGUGGACAGGCGUUGUUCCCUUAGGUCGUGUUGUUUUUGUGGCCCCGAAUACCUCGACUUAGGAAACCUUUUUCUGCAUCGUUUGAUCUGUAGACCGGAAGCAUCCCCAAACUUAGAUGAUGUCACAGAGAGACAGACAGGUAUCAUGGCGGCUGCCGCUGGGUUGGGGUUGUGGGGAAAUAGAAGUAGAUGGAAAGCAGAAAAGAGAACAAGGGUGUCCGGGCUGCCACGGGACUAAGCCAGGAACAUGCCCAAGUGGCUUAGCUGUUCAUCGUUUGAGAACAGGGUGCUCUUUCUAGAACACAGGCAACCAGGAGGGCGUGAAAGGAGGAGGGGGUCUUGCAAGGCCAAACGAGAAAGUGUGAGAUGAAGGCGGCCCCACCAGCGUGCGGGUGUCCCCACCUGGUGGAGCCGCACCCCUACCGGGGUGGCCGGAGAACACAGGAGGUCAGAAGAACCAGCACAUCCACGUGCCACUAGUUCACUCCUCAGAAUCCCAGGAAUGACAGCCUCCAUGGGGACCAUGCGGCGGCAAGCUGAUGCUGGGACAGGGUGCGUGAGGAGCGUGGCUGACAUUUAUUAAACAUUUGCUUUAUGCCUAAUACUCUCCUAAGCGUUUUCCACAUGUUAAUUAAUUCAAUGUGCUCGACGACCCUAUAACUUUGUACUUGCAUUAUCCACAGUUUGCAGAUGGGGAAACUGAGGCACAACAG